rnacentral:miRNA from 1 species
UUGGGGUUUGGGGUGCAGACAUUGC